rnacentral:lncRNA from 1 species
GUUGAGCAGAAAAUCUUCAGGCGAAUAUCGACAUCAAAGUGAUACCAUACGAAUACCAAAAAAAUCCUAUGCAACCAAAAAGCAGAUAAUGACCACAGAUGUGCAACAGAGACUACCAGUACCUGAUCAUCAUGUUAUGGUGAAGAUCUCAGGAACAGGACACCUAAGUUGAACUCUGGCAAGGUUGUCCCAUGCAGAAGGUUUGAUACCCAGGCUUCUUUCUAUCCACUCUCAUCUUGAGAACUCUUGAGAGCUCUACAUCAGCACGCUACAUCACAAUGGAAAAUACAAGAAAACCAGCAGUGUGACUGAGAUGAUCAGCACAUUUUAGUGGCAUACCUUAUCUACAAGGCACUCUGCAUGUAGACUGGGAAUUGUGCACAAGGUAGUCAAUGGUCUCUCUGCCUUUCGCUUGAAAGCCCUAUUUUCCUUCACAUAUCACAAACAUGGGAGAACCAAGCCAGAAGCGACAUAGAUCCGUUUGUAUUUGCCCAACGCUCCGUCCCAAAGUUUAAUAAUGGAACUGGCUUCCAGCAAAUGUAUGCCGACAGUUCUGCCAGGUCGAACUGCAAGGGACUACUCCUGAGGCAUCUAAUGCCCUUAUCCCAUUUAAAAAAUAUCAUCUGUCUUCCUCACACCCCUUCACUUAGUUCAUCUUCGUGAUAAGCUGUAUAGCCCUUUGAAUAAAAGUAUUUGUUGUUUUAAUGUGUGUACAUGUAAGAUACAGGUAGCUUUUUGAUAUUUAAUCUGAAUUCAAAUUCUGACCAAUUUAUUAGGGAUGCUGAACUGGAUAUUAAAUUCAAGGUGGGGGAAAUAAAAUGAUGUAGGAAUA